GGGAAUGUAGCUUAGUGGUAGAGCACUUGCCUAGCAUGUAUGAAACUCUGGGUUUGACUCCUCAGUACCA
rnacentral:tRNA from 1 species